rnacentral:lncRNA from 1 species
UUAUUUGAUGUUCUGUUUUAGAAAGAGGAACAGUAUCUGAAAACACUGACCAUUUUGUUGUGUACAUCUACCCCUCUGUAAACUUCUGGCACUUCUGACUCUAUGGUUUGGAGGUAGAUUUACCGGCAGUAGAGCAGAUGUAAUCACUGUGAAGACAGACUGAGGGCAGAAGAAAUUAAACCAAUUGGGUGAAUUAGCUCAGCAAGUGACAGCUCACAGGAGAAUCUUUAUCUACUCCUUCCACUGACUGUAUGCACAUAAUUGCAGAGGAGCAUAUUCUGGUGAUACUGCAAGGUUAGCACAUGGAUUUCAUGGAUCAGUAUUCAAACGUCUUAGGAUAAACCUGAUGCUUAGAAGGCAAACAGUUUACUCCUUUUUUAUUAUAUUACUGCAUAUCAGUAUAUUGAUUUUUAAGAGAUCAAAUACAUUUUAA